rnacentral:pre_miRNA from 1 species
GUAAGAAAUCUGUUUCUAGUUCUCCGCAAUACGCGCAAAACUGAAAAGAUUUUUUACAG